CAAAUAGUAGAGAAUAAUAUAUAUUCUUUACUGGCUAUCUCUGUCCAUGUUAUGCAAAUCUCCAUUAAAUUAUUAGUCAGUCAACACCUUAUUAUUGCUAGAAAUUCGAGUUCAUAUUCAAAAGUACAGAUACUAUUUCUUAUGAAGAGAUCAUAAAGUGUAAUUAUCAUUUUUACCAAUUGAAUGAGGUAUGCCACUUCAGAGGACUAGAUUGUAGUUCUUUCUGAUUACAAACCAUUAGAGUUGAGCAUACAAUUUCUAUUGCAAUGAAUUGAUUACAUCAAUGUAUGGAAGUAAAAAGUUUCAUUACUUCAAUUUCUUUUGAAGUAGAAAAAUGUGUCCUAGUCUAGCUAUUGUUUCUUCUAGCUCUCAACUGUACACAGUGGAGUUCCUGGCUUACUAACAACUAUACAAAAUUGUGUAACAAAAAAAUGGGGACUAGUUUCCUUCUCACUUCCUCAAUCGAAAUGUGAGAUCCAUGAACAAAUCCUCACUGCAGGGAAUAGUAACACCGCCCAUCGGAUGUUCGAAGCCAAAUUCAUCCUCGGCUUGACUAAGCAAGUCUUGAAACAAAGGUUCGCUCAAGAAUGAUAUUGGAAUUACAAAUCUCUUUUUCUGCAUCUCUCCAACAUACACAGCAAAAUGGCCCUUGGGAAUAUCUCUAGUUGCGGAAUACUUCUUGAUCAUACGGAGAAUAGCCAUGAUCUCUUAGUUUUAGUAUAGAUGAAAAAAAAAGGACUGUUGAGGGAACUCAAAAGCAGAGAAAACGUUGAUGUUUACUCAGUGUUGUGGUGGUAGAUACCUCUUUGGAUAUAUUUAUAUAGGAAAUGGCAACUCAUAUUGAUGUGAAUUGAUUAGGAAUUUGCGGGCUCCAGCAGAAGACAAUGGCACUCAAGUAUCACAUGCUCUUGCCUUCCAAGUAUUGAAAACAUUGUGGUAUUAGUUGACUAACAAUAGGCCCUACCUUUUUUGAAAACUUGGAAAGUAGCGUUAUACAUUACAUAAUUUUUAGGAAGUGAUGAGAAGUCGAUAACCUCUUGAUAUGUGAUGAAGAGCCAGUUGGAUUGGGCAUCACAUGGUCAUGCCUUCCAACUAGUUGACAUGAUUAAUUGUUUUAGCUCAUAUUAGAUCAAGUUCUAUAGGUCCUACAUAUAUUUUCCUAUAGGGAACAAAGGAUCUCUAAGAAUCAAGUCCAUUAAUAUUGCUGGCAGCUUGUGUUGAUUUCAAGGAAUAAAACAUACCCCAGAUGCAAACUUUGUAUCCACUUAUAUACAAAAUAUAUGAGUAAAAUAUGAAAAAUUACACUGGUUGACACUGUUUAUUGAUAACAGAAAUAUUAUGGGCUUUCAACAUGUCUGUGUUUGCAAAUCUCCAUAAAAUUAUGAGUCGGUCAAAAAGAAGACGACUGGACUGUGGAGAAGGAGAAGAGGCAGCACAGAAUUGAGAGGAAACUGAAAAAGAAGUCGGACUUUCAUGAAGACAGUAGAAAAGAGGAAGUGAGGGUAACUGAACACUCCCCAACCCUAGAAGAUAGUGCCAUGCAAGUUUCUGCUAUGUUGAGAAGUGAUUAUAACAUCUCCGGGUUGACAACAAUUGAAGAUGCAGUACCUUUAAACCAACAUAACCCAGGGGAAGGGGAGGUCCGAAUUAUGAUAUUCCUAUAUGGAUUCAUCAGAACAUUAUCAAAUUUGCCAAAGAAUUUGGUGUCGACAUCACGGGGUGCAAAGAGGAACUAAACAUGAGACAAAAAAAUUCGACAAUGAAGAAACGAACAGGAGAAUGACCUCAGAAACAAGGGAGCAAAGAAUGAAUCUCGAGUGCGGAAGUAAUUUCAGAAGCAAAGGCACAAGAAGGGGGGUGGGGGUGGGCUACAAAAUUAAUGUUGAUCAAUGACAGUCUCCAUAGUGUCAUGGAAAGCUGAUGUUUAUUGCUUUCAAGAGACCAAAAUUCUCCCUAUCAGCUGGAAGCUAGUGGGACAAGGGGAGGUGUUCUAAUUCUAUGGGAUGGGAAAGUUUGGACAGGAGAAGUAAGUAGUCUGGGGGCAUUUAUUCCCUAACCUGUAAGUUCACAGGGAAGAACCGCGACUUCACUUGGUGUCUCACAAGCAUCUAUUCUCCUAACAGCAGAGUAGAAAGGGAAAAAGUAUGGUGAGAGUUGGGCUCAGCCAGAGGACUUUUUGAUGGGCCUUGGGUAGUAUGUGGGGACUUUAACACUUACUGGGAGAACUAAAAUUUGGCAAAAUUGAUCAGAUGGAACUCGUAUGUGACAAUCAAGCGGCUCGUCAAAUCCAGUGUUUCAUGAAAGGCCUAAGCACAUUGAGAUUGAUUGUCACUUUGUCAGAGAAAAAAUACUCACAGGAGAUAUUGUUACAAAAUUUGUGAAGUCAAAUGAUCAGCUUGCACAUAUCUUCACCAAGUCCCUCAUAGGUCCUCGUAUUAAUUACAUUUGUAACAAGCUAGGUACAUAUGAUUUGUAUGCACCAGCUUGAGGGGAGUGUUGGAAUAGAAUAAGUAUUUCUUACUUAAAAUAGGAAUAGGAAUAGGAAUAUGAAUAAGAAUAGGAUUCCUAGUCGGAAAAGGAUUCUAAUGUAGUGUCUAUGAAAAGGGUCUCAAUGUAAAAUUUAAAUACACAAUUCAAUAAUAUUUUUUCGCCAUAUAUUUCUCAAGAGGGUGACAACACCACCAAGUUUUUCCACAGAUCAGCAAAUGCUCAUAGAAGAUAUAACAAUAUUGAUGAAUUAAUGGUGGAUGGGGAAGCAACCCAAAAACAAGAAGUUAUAAAGAAGGAGAUUGAGGAGUUCUAUUAAAGAAUAUAUACUGAAACUGAGACAUGGAGGCCAGCUGGAGGAUGCAGGGCAGACCACAGAGCACAGAGUUUCUAUUGAAGACAAUCAUUCUAUGUAAGCUAGAUAUACAAAAAGCUUAUAACCACCUCAAUAGGAUUUGGAGGUAGAUGGAUAAGAUGGAUGAAGUUCUGCAAAAGCACCGUCAAAUUCUCUGUCCUUAUCAAUCAAUGGCUCCCCUACGGGUGAGCCUUCUCCUCACAGAGAGGCCUAUAGCAAGGAGACCCAUUAUCUCCUUUUCUCUUCAUCAUUGCCAUGGGAAGUCUUAAUGAUAUGUUGAGAAUUGCUCAAGAAAAUAGCUGGUUGAAGGAUUCAAAGCUGCACACAGGGAAGGCUCAAACUUGGAGAUACUCAUUUGCUUUGCAGUACGCUGAUGAUACAUUUAUCUUUUGUGAGGCUAUUAAGAACCAACCCAUGAUUCUCAAGGUCAUUUUUGUUUCUUUUUGAAGCAAUCCUACGAUCACACAUCAACUGGAAUAAGAGCUUCAUAUAUCCAGUUAAUGAGGUUUCUAACCUAACCUAAUUGGCUGGGGUCCUUGGUGGAAGUAUUGGGAAGCUACCAACUGUCUACUUGGGCAUGCCUCUGGCUGAUCAGAAUAUGUCUAUAAAUAUAUGGAAUGGAGUGGUAAAGAAUUGCGAGAAGAGGUUGGUAAACUGAAAAAGUCAAUAUCUCUCCUUAUGAGGAAGACUAGCACUAAUCAAUAGUGUUUUGGACUCUAUACCUACCUAUAUGAUGUCCCUCUUCCCUAUCCCUGAUGGGGUCAUUGAGAGAUUGGAUGUUCUAAGAAGAAAUUCAGUGAAACCAAGAAGUUCCACUUGGUGAAAUGGGAUGCACUGAUUGGAAGUGAACAAAAAGGGGGUAUGGGGGUGAGGAACUUAAAAACUCAGAACCAAUGUCUUAUGAUGAAAUGGCUCUGGAUAUUUGCUUCUAGGGAGUCAGCUCUCUGGAAAGAAGUUAUCCAGCUGAAGUAUGAAAUGGCAGAUCAUUGGACCACCAGGGAUGGAAUUUGAGCUUUAGAAGACCUUUUAAUGACUAGGAGAUUUUGAGGUUAGUUGAGUUCUACAGCAAAUUGGAGCAAUUCAAAGGAACCUUCACUGACCAAGAUAGAUUGGAGUGGAAGGGCCACAGUCAAGGUAGUUUCAGUAUGAAAGGGGCCUAAAAAAAAUUUAACCCUAAUAAUUAUCAGAUUGAGGACUGGCCUUGGAAGCUUAUAUGGAAAGUCAAAAUUUCUUAUGAAGUUUCCUGCUUCACUUGGCUUGUGGCCAAACAAGCUGUUUUAACCCAAGAAAACCUCAUGAAAAGGGGGAUACAUCUAAGUCCAAGGUGUUUUUUUUGGGAAGAAAAGGCUGAGACUGUAACCCACCUUUUUUGUACACUACAGGAUUACCCGUCAACUAUGGGAAAUAUUCCCAAGUAAGAAGGGCCUGAAUUGGGUAAUGCCAAGGAAAAUAAAUCAGACUUUGAAGAUCUGGAGCAGUUAUGCUAGCAUGUCAGACCAUAAGGAUAGGUGGAAAAUUGCACCAGCUUGAAUUUGGUGGGCUGCUUGGCGAUGAAGAUGAAGUGUUUAGUUUUGUUUCACUUUUGGUGUAAACAGGAGUAUAGGGAAGAUCUAGAAUCAAUUAAAGAUGUCUUAGGAUUAUUGUAAUUUUUUGUUGAAAGGGUUGAAGUUCUUCUAGAUACUCCCCUCCUCAAUUGUAAUUAGGAAACCUGUAACUUGUCGUGGCAGGUUUCUGUUUUUGUGGAAAUAGAAUACAAGUCGUUACCUUCUCAAAAAAAAAGUAUAAACAUGAAAUACAAAUUAUUAAGAGUUAAUCAAUUUACAUCCAGUUCUAUUGGAUUGAGUUUAACUCAGUACUUUCACAUUGCUGCAGAAUGGCAGAUCUAGUACAUCUUGAGUUACACUUCAUUGUAUGAUGGACACUACCAUGUGUAUUUUAACUUCAUUUUGACCACAAAGUAUAAUUCUUACCAACGGAAUGAGUUGUGGCACUUUAGAAGACUAGAUUCUGACUAAAAAAUGACGAGAGUUGAGCAAAAAGUUUCUAUUGCAAUGAAUUGUUUACAUCGAUGUAUGGCACAGAAUGAAACCAUGUAAGUAAAAAGUUUCAUUACUUCAAUUUCUUUUGAAGUAGAAAAAUGUUUCCUUAGUCUAACUAGUGUUUCUUCUAACUCUGAACUGUACAGUGUCUAUCCUGGUUUACUACAACUAUACAAAAUUAUGUAACUAAAAAAAUGGGGACUGGUUUCCUUCUCACUUCCGCAAUCGAGAUGUGAGAUCGAUGAACAAAUCCUCGCUGCAGGGAAUAGUCACACCACCCAUUGGAUGGUCGAAGCCAAAUUCUUCCUCAGAUUGACUAAGCAAGUCUUGAAAUAAAGGUUGGCUCAAGAAUGAUAUCGGGAUCACAAAUCUCUUCUUCUGCAUCUCCCCAACAUACACAGCAAAAUGACCCUUGGGAAUAUCUCUAGUUGCAGAAGACUUCUUGAUCAUACGAAGAAUAGCCAUGAUCUCUUAGUUUUAGUAUAGGUGAGAAAAAAGGAAGGAUUGUAAGGUUACCAAAAAGCAGAGAAAGCUUUGAUGUUUGCUGAGUGUUGUGGUGGUAGAUACCUCAUUAGAUAUGUUUAUAUAGGAAAUGGCAACUCAUAUUGAUGUGUGUUGAAUAGGAAUGUGUGGGUACCAGCAGAAGACAAUGGCACUGUAGUAUCACAUGCUCUUGCCUUCCAAGUAUUGAAAACUAUGUGGUAUUAGUUAAACAACAAUAGGCCCCACCUUAUUUUGAAACAUGGAAAGAGCCAUUUGGAUUGGACAUCAGUACAAGACAAUGAUAUAUUAGCAAUCACAUGGUCCUGCCCUCCAGCUAGUUUGACAUGAUUAAUUACUUUGGCAUAUAUAAGUUCAAGUUCAAUCGGUCCUACAUAUAUUAUCCUAUAGGGAACAAAGGAUCUCUAAGAAUCAAAUCCACAUAUAUUGCUGGUAGCUUAUGAGGAUAUCUAGGAAUUAACCAUACCCCAGAUGCAAACUGUGUCUACUUAUAUAAAAAGGAUAAGAGAUAAAAAGUUGGCUUAUUAAAUUCCGAGCCAGUUGGUCAAAAUCAGAUGAUCAAAUAGAAACAGGGGGAAUAUUAUAUAUGCAAGAACAAUCCAUUGAUUAAUAGUUGGCUCCCUAAGUACGUUUGGUAACUACUGUGAAUAUUACCAUAACCAACAUACACAAAGUAACAAAUACACCUAAAAAAACCUUCUAAUCACAUAACCACCUUCUAGAAAGGGUGCAAUGAGAAAAUAGGCCUCCAAAAUAAAGCUAAUCAUAUCAUAUCAUAUAUUAUUAUAAAUGGGAAGCUCCAGAGUAGAAAAGUUGAAUUACAAUUUUACCCUUAUGCUAAAUUCAAAUGUUAUUAAAUAAAUAAUUAAUUAAAUAGUAAUAGUAGAAUUUCUAUAAUAUUUUUAUUUGAUUGGUAUACACAUGUGAGUAAAUUAAAUAGAACAAAAAUUAAAAAUAAGAGUUAUCCCUUUGAAUAGAUACAUGUAUGUGUUUCAUCUUCCAAAUUAAUUUAUAUUUUUAAUUAAUAUUUGUCUUUAAUUUGUAAUAAUACUUGAUCUUUCAAUUUUGUAAGUGAAUCUUCAUAUUCCAAAACUAUAUUUUUUCCCUAUAAAUACAAAUCUUUCUAUGAAAAUUUUCUAAUAGUAUUUUCAUAAAAAGAUUUAUACGUGAUAUAAUUUUUGUGUGUGGAAGACUAGAGAAGCUUUAAUCAAGUGAAGAAAAUUUCAAGGCAAAGAGAAUUUCUGUCAAGAUUACAAGACGUAAUGUGAUUAUAGGGAUGAAUAACACUUCAAUUACUAGAAUAUCGGAGUUUGAUGUAUUUGUUUUUUUAAUUUGCCGAGAUUAGAACUAUGAUAAGACCCCUCCAUUUAUGUAGUUGAAUGUCACUUUCGUUAAUUUCUCUUCCAAAACUUUUAACUUUUUUUUAUGGUCAAAGGUUGACUGUUUAUUACUAUAGUUUUUUUUUCAAUUUGCAAUAUCAAUAAAAAACAGGGAAAGGAAUGUCUUAAAAAUAGGGAAAGGAAUGUCUUCAAUUUACAUUAUCAAUUUGCAUUUUUGUUGGUAGCCUUAUGCUAAACUUGCUCCCAUAUUUGAUUUUUUUUUUUUUUGUAUUUGUACUUUUAUUUUAAGAAUAUAUUUGAUUGAAUGGUGUAUUUUCGUAUAAAUUUUUUAAUACUUAGUCAUAAUGAUUUUUCAUUACAGAUUUAGUAUAUUUGAAUUCUUUUAUAUAUUUUAUUCUUAGAUUACAGUUUUGUUUACACAGUACGUUUAAAUUUUAUAAAUUGUUUAAUAAAUUAAAUAUUAAUAUUAAAUAGUAAAUAGUAAAUCAUCAUAUUAGUAUACAUAACUUACCAUCAACUUGUAAAUGUAUGUGACUCUCACUAAUUAUAUUCAUUAUGUUCAUUACUCUCAUUUCUCAUCGAUAAUCUCAAAUGGAUUAAUAUUUAUUUAUGACAACUCUUUGUAUUUCUCAAUGUUAUCCAAUAAUAAAUAGUGACAUUUCACACAAUAAUAUAUAAACUUAAACCAAUUGGAAAAAAAUGAGAAAAUCUCGAUGCUCUCUUUUCUCGUCUCUUUUUAUUUAUUUAGUUUAACAUUUAUGUUUCUUGCUUGUUGUUAUUGUACAACGUACUUUCUAUUGUUGUGUUAUUAUUAUUGAUAAUUUACUAUGGCCUGUUGCUUUGUAUACAUUAGCUUAUCAUGUUGUAUUUUAAUAUCUUCAUUGGAAUAUUGAAUUUGUGUAAUAGUUAUUAUUACUUUAUGCACUUUCAGUCAAUUUUAUAAUUAAAGGUAUAAUAUUUUUACUAGGAAGAUAUAUGUAGUUUCUACCGAAACAAUAAUAAAUUUUACGAUACAAAAUUUAUAUGAAGUAUGUUGGGAUAAAUGUGCAACGCACGUUCCUAAAUCUAGUAUUAUUAUAAGCAUGAAGCUCAAAACUUAAAAGUUGAAUUACCAUUUUGCCCCUCUAAUAAAUUAAAACUUAUAUAAUUUAUAAUAAACAUUUUGCCCUUUUACUAAAUUAAGAUUUAGUUUAUAAUUUAAUUAAAUAUAAAUAUUUUAAUUACACAAUGAUAUAUAUAUAUCUAUUUAAUUUUCAUAAGUAUUUAAAGUUAGGAAGAAAGUUUAAAUUUAUUCAGUCAAUGACUUUUAAUUAGAAAAACAAUGAUAAGAUUCUAAAGUCUUUCUAUUACUCCUAUUUAUUCAUGCAUCACUUAAUUACUGAAGUUGAAAGGUUUUUUCAGUUUUAAAUUUUGAAGGCACUACUUAACUUACAUUAAUUACAAUGAAUAUUGUAAAUGAAAAGAUCACUCUUUUGAACUUUCAUAUGUUACUUCACUCUUUUUAAUUAACUUGAAUUAUUUUCAUCUUCCACAUAUUAUUGAAAUGUAUAGAUAUUUAAGACAUAGAGAAAGAAAAUAACAACAGAAAUCAAGAACACUCAAAAGCACAAGAAUUCAUAGUCUAACCCUUUUUUCGAAAAUUUUCUUGGUCUUCUCUAUUGCAUGAAUCUAUAUGAUGGCACAGUAUGGUUCUAAUACAUUUGAAAAUGCUAUGCUAACAUUUAGAUGAACUUACAAUAAAUCUAUUGAAAGAGUAAGUCACGAUUUAGAUUACAAUUUUUUCCUUGUUCUUCCCGUUUUAGUUUUGUUAACUAUGAUUCUUCCUUCUAUAUUAAAUGAUUUUUUGUUAUAUUUAGAUAAUAUGUUGAUAUAUUAAUAGAAAAAAAAAAGUAAGGUGGACUACAAUUUUGAGAUAUGUUGUUCAUAAAAAAAAUUAUAUUUCUUUGAUUAAUAGUCACUGUAUAAAAUUAAUUUCAUUGUAUAUGUUCUUUUUGGCUAUAUAUGAUACAAUCCUAAUGCAUAAAUUUUCUUUCUGAUAUGGUGUCUUCUCUUCAAUCUUUUGGUGUUAUAUUACACUGUUUGAUAAGUUUUCAUUGUAUUUGUCUAUUUUUUUUCCCUAUGAAGGUUGUUUUUGGUUGAAGGGUAAAAAAAUAUUUAAAUAAUAAAGUAUAAAAUUAGAUUAUCAUUUUAUUCUGUGUUAAAUUAAAAUAUUAUAAAAUAUUUAUUUAUAAAUAGUAAUCAUUCUACAUGCCACACUAAAUAUUAAAAAUAUUGGUUAUUAUGAGAUCAUUGAGUUAAAUCAAUAUAUAAAGACCAUAAUCAAUGCCCAGAUGCCCACUAAAGAUUUGCAUUGUUAUAUGAUUAAAGUCUUCAAAAGAAUGUGUAUGUUGUCGCAUGUUUUUUUCUUUGUUUAUUUUGUAUGUGUUUUCUCUCUAUGAACUUCUUUAAUUUGAUUUUCCAUAAAUUUCUUAUUGUUUUAAUUGUAUUUUUAAUUAGGCUAAAGUUAAUCUUUUGUGACUAUAUAUAAUGCAAAUUGGCUAAUUACUAUCUAAAGUUCUAAAUUUACAGUUGUUGAUAAAUUUUAUGCAUUAAAAUAAGAUUCCUCGUUUGAUGUUAUUGUGAUUAAACUUCUUUAAUUUGAUUUUCCAUAAAUUUUUGAUUGUUUUAAUUGUAUUUUUAUUUAGGCUAAAGUUAAUCUUUUGUUACUAUCUAAAGUUCUAAAUUUACAGUUUGUUGAUAAAUUUUAUACAUUAAAAUAAGAAUCCUCACCUGAUUUUUUUGUCAUAAUUUUAUAAUUUUAUUUGUAAUUGUUGGAUUUUGUUAUUCGUUACAUGCAUGUACAUGUAGAAUUCUAAUUGUUAUAAUGAAAAAUAAAAAAAAAAUUAACAUAGGAUACACGUGCAACGUACGUGUGCUGAAACUAGUUACAAAUAAGCCUUUGAAUCAAACUGCUACAACUGCGACCUUUUCUCCCUAUUUAUAAUAGAUCUAAUCUUUCCACGAUAUCCUUCUUAAUCUGUAACACAACUGUUCCAGUUUGAACAUUCAUGUGCUUGAAUGUAGUCCAGUUCCUAGCCUUCCAAGUAAAUAAUCUUGUUUGUUAUCUUUUACAAGUACAUUGGUUUCUUCAUAAACAAACAUAAAUAAGUUGGGAUCUUCCUCCAUAAAUAGCAUCCCAUCUCUAUAUCCCUAACACAACUAUUAGUACUUCUUUAGUAGCAUUAAGCUCUCAAAUUUCUUCAAGAAAACAUACAAAAAUGGCCAUCAGAAAAUCAAGCAACUUAAUCACAAACUGCAGUUUUCAAGCAAAUUAUGAAUAGGUAUUCAAAUUUGGGUAUGCUGAGAUUUAUAUUUGCUAAUGAGUCCAACCAACGACCCGACCCCUAAGAGAAACAAUCAUUUAAAGUAAAUAAAUUAUUAGGAAAAUUCAUGAGAAACCAAAAAUGGAUGAUAAUGCAAAGGACAAAAUAGACCUGAUCAGUUAUAUCAAGUACUGUGCUUGCCACAAUCGGAAUAAACUUAUUGUCAACCUGUUGGAGAACUUUGGCACCCUCCGGGAAGUUUUUAUUAAUGGUAUCAGGAACCAAUGAAUCGCCAAAAAAAUGCAAGACGCCAGAAGUGACACUCAGUACAAUAUACUGAUUAUUAAAAUUCUCAGUUCCAGCACUGUUCUGCAUCUCAACAGGAAAAGGUAAAGUUCAUCAUCUUAACAAAAUAGAGAAGAAGCAAAAACAUCCAAGAUAUAGCUAAGGUACUCAACUGUAAUCUUUGGAAGUCCCUCCAUUUUAUCCCAAAAAUCUAAGGAACUUUGAAUUUUUGUUGGUGCAAAUUCUGAAAAAUUGACUAAAGAAAAGGUCAGCCAUGACAAUAUUAUUACAAGAUCAGAACACAAGCAAGAUGGAAUUUGAAAGAGACUAUGUGGCAUAGGAGUCUUAGAAAGAGACAUUGUAAUCUCUAAUGCUUCCACGAUUAAUAAGAAUGCAGCCUAAGAUAAUCUUGAAAAGUGGGUGAAAGAAAUGAAGCUAAUUAACUGAAACAUGCACUAGGAAAAUUCAGCUCUUAUUCAGAUCACGAACAAGUGGCAGGAAUGGUUUACCUUCUUUUAACUCCCCAUCGCGUGUACAUGUGCACUCCCCUUGAGCUUGCAAUUUGCUAUUCCAGAUGUUAAUAAGUUCCCUUUUCACACUUGGCCUGAACAGAGAAACAUCAGGUCGUGUUCAUUACUGGCAUAUUUAAUUAAGAUAUAUCAGAAAGAGACCUAACAACCCUCCCAAGAAAUUGGAUAACGCUACCUUUCAUCAGAGAAGAAACCGUCACCACAACUUGGGGUGGAAGAUUGAUCACAUUGAUGGGAUGACUGCUGUGGAAGCUCUCAGCAGAUAGCUUCUGCAGAAUGAUGCAGUCUACUAACUGCUAUAGUUUCAGCACGAAUGAAAAGAACAUUAAUUAGUUGCACCUGUUCACUGUCAUCAAUGAUUAAUAACACAAACAAGCACUCAAGAACAAAUUACCAGGCAUGAGUGGCACAUCAUGAACAGUCUUAAUACUGUGAUUUCCUGCUGCCUUUCUUGUAGACUCACUCGUGGCAAAGAACUUAAUUCUUACCUUGGUAAAAUGGAGGAACUGAAUGAAUUCUUCUACCCUCCUUCUUCCUUAUAAGCUCAUCCGUUUUACCUCGAUUUCCAGCAUCGAUCCAUUUAUGUGAGUCCCUACCCACCCUAGAGAAGAGCAUAGGUCAUGGUAUCAACUAAUUCUUAAGAUUCUCUUCACAUCUCUUAUCCAUCAAUUUGGGCCUGCAUACCUUCACCGUGUAUACAUCGUGAUAGCUUGAAUGAACUAUCACUUGCAUUCAAUUUUUAAGGGAACUCAGAUGAAUCCCUAACCCACUGAACAAUAGUGGCAACAGAGAACGAGAAGCACGUAGACAAAACAGGUCAUCCUCACUGCAUGCAAAUAAAAAAAAAUCUAAGAAACCAUACAGGAAAUAUCCUCAAGUUAACUGGUUUAUCAAAUAUGGACCUUUCGAUAACAACAAUUUUGAAGAAGACACUGGGAUGCACAAGGGUGAUUCUCAGAAGAGACUCUUUGAGAGAAUGCAAGACCCUCUUUGUGCCUCGGACAGAGUACAGCUUAAGAAAUUAUGUAGAUCAUAUGUUUUACUUGUUUGAGUUUGAGGAAAACAAGAAGUACCUGGAGAGCAUUUGUUUCCUUAAAACUGAUUGGUUGUAAAAGCACUGGAAAUAGUUCCCGUGAAACUCCUCUUGCAUAUUAGCACUAGAUUAGGCAUAGGCAUUGCCAAAGAAGAAAAUAACCAUUAAAGUGGAAGAUUCACAUGACAUUGUAAACUCUUGAGCAUAAUAAACCACUAAAGCAAAAGAAUAUCAAUUACAUUGUUGAAUGUCAAUCAAGAAACAUCAAGAAGUCAAAUUCUAUAACAUAAAUCCCUAAAGAACACUUGAGACAAUUAAAAUACUAUAGGCAUCUUAAGAAAAUCUUGAAAUAGCAGUACGAAAAUCCAUCAAAAAAAGAAGAGAGGAAGCUUACUUUAAGAUGAGGGCAACACACACACACACUGAUCAUCAAAAAUAAAUAAUACCAUCCAAUCUUAUAGCAACAGGCAUUCAACUCAUAAUAUUUUUCAAUUUUUAUUUAUCCUUUCUAGAUUGCAACUUGAUAACGUAUCUAAAGUUAAUAAAAUAUACAUUAAUAAAAGGAAAAAUGUACACAAAUCUAAACUAAUCCAGUCAAAAAUUGUAUCACUAACCUGAUAUUUUUCGAACAUAUAAAGUUUUUACUUAAAUAAUAACAGCGGAACUUGAAAAAUAUAUAUUUAAACUAUUACGAUAACAUACUUAGUAUAGUCUCAUAAGUGGAAUCUAGAAAAGAUCUCAUGAUCAAUAUUAGUUUCAUAAAUCAAAUCUACAAUGGUUGGAUAUACGCAGAUCUUAUCCCAAAAAAAUUCAAUAUUAGUGAUUUAAAUACGCAAUCGAAUGGCAUUGGCAUAUUUGUGAAACUUGACAAUGACAUUGAGUAUAGUAAACUGGAGUCAACAAUGACAAAGAAAAUAACUAGAGCAAAAUAUACAAGCAUGUAGUGAAUAUAAGAUGGUUACUAAAAAUGUUAGGCACAUGACAAAGCAAUUGGAGAAUAUUAAUGCACUAUGCGUGUAUAUGUAGCUUUGUAUAGGCUACAUAUUGAAUAAUUUUGAAAUUGUGGAUAUGAUUAUAGGCUAAGUUGACAUUUGUAAAGGACAAUUUGCACAAAAUAUAGUGUCAAAACAUUAUAAGUUAGAACAUACUGAAAUUUAAUAUUUUUCUAAGUACAUGGACUAAAAAAUUACAAGGACUAAGGAAUCUUUGUAUUGUAACUCUAAUAAAACGGAUUAAACAUAAUCGGUAGAAUCUGUAAAGAGUCUGUAAAGAGGGCGAUGAUAUCAAAGCAAAACUCACCCUACCAUUACAAGAUAGAAUCUGUAGUUCACCGUACAAAUCCUGUGCCUUCAAAUAGAACCUCUAAUAAGAAUGAAAACAGAACUGCAUGAAGAAUGAUCCUGGAAGUCAAUAUGGAUUGGAUCGGGUAUCCAGAGGAAGACUUUGGAACUUGAAUAAAAACUCAACUUGGAAUUUAAAAUUCUGGGUUUACAAAAAGCCUUCCUUUAAGAACAAGGAAUCCCAACUAGCUUUGCACAUUUGAUAAUAAUACUUUAUAUACAAGAACUCACAAAAAAAAAUAAAAAUGAAAGAAAUAGACCGCUGAGAUCACAAGCUCAAGGCUCUUGCGGGAGCCUCGUCUAAUUCUUCUUUUGUUACUUCCUUCUUUUCCUGAAAUAAAUAGCCAACUUACUCAAGAAAUUUACACUUUGCAAUCCUUCUAGAGAGCAUGGAAAAUCUAGAGCAAAUAGUUCUUUGAUUCACACAUUUCUUGGCCAAGAUUUGGUAUGUUCAUACAAAUACAACUGACGAUCAUAAUAACGUUCCUGAUAGGAAACAAAAUACUUAUAUACAAAAAGAAAGAUCAUAUGUGUGAUGGAGGAGAUAGAUGACACAGUAAUGAUUUAGGUAAUUACACAUCUCAUUAUUUUGGUCCAGAAAAAAAUCAUAUUUAAUUUUCAAGUGUCUUUAGAUCUUCUAUUUUGAUUAUAGACAAAACAUAUAAUAUCAGCGCAAAUCAUUCACCUCUCAAAUGCACACUCAAUUGUUGAAGCAUCAAGGUGAAAGAGAAAUUUGAUUAUAAUGGGCAAAACAAGCUUCUUAACAGUUUACACUUCUAUAAUGAUACAACAUGAGUUUCUGGAGGUUCAAAUACCAGAGUUGGGUACUGGUGUGGGUAAUAUAAUGAUCAAUACUCACACAAUUCUCUCUCAUUGAAGUGAAGAGAGAAACAAGUUUUCCUUUGGAUGAUAAAAAAAGAGAGAGCAAACUGUUCGUAUCACUAAGUCGUCAAACAUAACCUAAAGGUGACUACACAUCGAAGGCAAAUUAUAAUAAAACUAGCCAAAUGGAACAUCUAAACAGCUUGAAUAAUAUUAGAUUAUUAAGGUCAAUCCUAGACAAGGAUUUCUAUAAUUGAUAGGGACUACUUCUGCAGAUACUCAGAUAUAUACUAUGACGGGUUGAUGGCAAGUUGUCUAAAAUGCUUAUCUAUGAAAAGAGACAGACCAUUGUCAUUGUUGACCCGUAAGAGGGGAAAUAUUCUCCAGCCCACUGCUACCACAAAGAACCUUUGCUCCACAUCCAACUGUAUCAGCUGUUCUAACUUCCGACAGCCUCUUCAUCAAACAAGAUCUAUAAAAUAAAAAAACCUACAACCAUUUUAGUAGGGUCAAUAAGAAGCUCCUAGUCCAAAUACAGGAAUAGCAAGAGUAUAAGAAACAACAAAUCAGAAAAAGUCGAAACAUUUCACAGCCAAUUCAUAAAUAUAACCGGCUGCAUCAUCAAGCUGCAGCAAUACUGAGCUGGAUAAUUCCCUUCAAGUUUCAAUAUCAAGUUAAAACCCCUCUUUGUUUAACUCAUUUAGCAAAUAAGAAGAUGCCAUGAAUCUGUAGUUGUUCCCUCUUUGUUUAACUUAUUUACCAAAUAAGAAGAUGCCAUGUAUCUGUAGUCCUUGUCCUUGCCUGUCAUCAGCAAAAUGGAGUCAAGUCAAGUCAAAUUGCACAAAUGGAUGGCGCAACAGAGGAGAGAUGGCUUGCAGCAUCAAAUAAUAAUUAAGAUUUUCUUCACUAUGAAAAGUAUACGUGACAAAUCAUCACCAUUAUAAUAGAAUCCAGAAGGACCUGAACUACUAAGUUCACCCGAUCAAGUCCCCCACACUAUAAAUAUCCUCCUUAGAACAAGCAUUAAAAUUGGGAUCAAAUUUUGCCGGAUUUGGGAACAAGCAGUCCUCUUUUCAAUAUUAUAUAUGGCAGGAAUUCCAAAAUCAUAUGUGAGAACAACUUCAUGUUUAACAGAAGUUUCUAUACCAUUUUCAGGCUUUAGCAAUGUUAAGGAUUAACAUCUUGAAACUUUGUCCCGAGCAAAGUAUCUGGUGAAAGAGGAGAUGGUUCUGGACCACAAAACGGCAGUCCAGAACCAUAAUUUUCAGUCUGUUUAAAGAGGUCCAUAAGAUGAUCGUCUUCAUCUAACAUGACCUUGGUUAAUGAAGAUUUUUCUGAAUCUCCUGAAAAAUUUUGACCUCAUUAGUCAUACUACGCCCAAAAUACACUCAAACAUUAGACUAAAGGCCAAAUACAAAGAAUCUGUAUAAUCAAAAAAACAAUCAUUUUCUUUGGAAAUAAAUGCAAAAGAAUCUGGUUAGCUACUGAAGUAUGUCCUUAAACAUGAAUGAUGUGAUAAAUAGUUUUCCAAAUUAAGUUAAAAGCUAUUUGAGUUUCAAGUCCUCAUAAUUCGAGAAGAGAGAACCUCUACCAUUAACUUGCUACUGAUGGUAUUAGAACAAGAAAAAUUCAUUCCUAAGAAGUAACAAUUCAUAAUUCACUUGCUAUAAUCAACCUAAUUAAAACAUACAAUGAACCUUAAGAGACAAUGCACACAAACGAAACUUGAAAUCCUUAGACCCUCAAAAAUCCUUCUUGCUGUCAACAAGAUGGAGCACAGAACUGACAAAAACUGUGCUAUUGAUACCUCAGAAUGAACUAACAACCCUGAGAAAAAGUGCUUGUCAUGCUUUGUUUUCCAUAUCUAGGCAGGCAUAUAAUCCUUCAGAGGAAGGAAUAUGAAUGUUGAAGAGAAUAAGAUAUAAGUAUUGUAAAAGGUCUGAGAAUGUAGGUGAGCAACCAAUCCUGUAUUAACAACUACAGUACCUUUCUCUUUCAAAGACUGAUUUGCAAAUGGUUCGCAUGUACUUGCACUUUUUGAAUGUAUCCCUAAAAGAAUCAAUCGUUAAAAAAAUGCAUUUAUAAGGAAUUCACAAGAACCAAAAAUGGCCAUCAUGGACUAUGCAGAGACCAGAACAGACCUGAUUAAUUAUAGGAAGUGUGGUGCCCGCCACAAUUGAAAUAAACUUCUUAUCAACCUGUUGGAGAACUUUGGCAGUUUUUAUCAAUGGUAUCAGGAACCAAUGAAUCACCAACAAAAUGCAAGACGCCAGAAGUGACAUUGAGCACAGUAUCUCAUACUGAAAAGGGCAAAAAAGUCCAGUUCUUAAGAUUCCUGUUCAAGUUCUGCUCUGCAUCACAUACUGAAAAGGGUAAAAGUCCAUCAUCUUAGAAGGAGAGAGAAGAAGUUGCAAAAACAUCUGAGAUAUAGCUAAGGUAACUCAACUGUAAUCUCUGGACGGAAGUCUCUCCAUUCUGUCCCACAAUUAAGAAACUUCGAGCUUUUGUGGUUCAAAUUCUGAAAUUUUGAAUAAAAAAUGUCAGUCAUGACUCAUGUCAAUUCUAUAAUAAGAUCAGUACAUAAGCAAGAUGGUUGAAAGAGACUAUGGGUCCUAGGGAACUUAAAAAGACACAUGGUGAUCUCUAAUGCUUUUAUGAUUGAAUGCAGUCUGGGAUAAUCUUGAAAAAAUGGGUGAAAGAAAUGACACUAAUUAACUGCAACAUGCACUAGAAAAAUUUAGCUCUUAUUCAGGUCAGGAACAAAUGGCAGGAAUUACCUUCUUUCGACUCCCCAUCGUGUGAAGUUGUGCACUCCCCUCAAGCUUGUACUUUAUUAUUCCAAAUGCUAACUAGUUUCAUUAGAAACACCAGGUCGUGUGGGUUACUAAAAUAUCUGAUUGAGAUAAUAUCAGAAAGAGAACUAACCCUUCCAAGAACGUUGAUAACAUGACCUUUCAUCAGAGAAUACACCGUCACCACAACUUGGGGUGGAGGAUUUACCAAAUUGAUGGAAUGACUGCUGUGGAAACUCCAAGCAGAUAGCUUCUGCAAAAUGAUGCAGUCUCCUUACAGCUCUAGUUUCUGCACGAUGGAAACGAACAUUAAUUAGUUGCCCACAUUUCCUGUCAUCAUUGAUCAUUAAUACAAACAAGCACUCAAGGACAAAUUACCUGGCAUGAGUGGCACAUAACGAACAGUCUUGAUACUUUUAUUUGCUGCUGCUGUUCUUGAAGACUAGCUUGUGGCAAAGAAUUUCUUGCCCGAGGAGCUGAAAUGACUUCUUCUACUCUUCUCCAUCAUUAUAAUCUCAUCUGUUUUACCUUGAUUUCCAGCAUGAAUCCAUUUAUGCGAGUCCCCAUCCCAUCCUAGAGGAGAGCAUAGCUUGUGGUAUCAAAAUAAUAAUUAAGAUUUUCUUCACUAUGAGAAUGUAUAUGUGACAAAUCAUCACCAUUAUAAUAGAAUUCAGAAGGAUCUGAACUAUUAACGUCACCCGAUCAAGUCCCCUACACUGUACAUAUCAUCUGUAGAACUAGCACUAAAAUUGAGAUCAAACUUCGCAAGUUUUAGGAACAAGCAGUCCUCUUUUCCAUAUUAUUUAUGGCAGGAAUUCCAAAAUUAUACGUGAUAACAACUUCAUAUUUAACAGAAGUUUCUAUACCAUUUUCAACAAUGUUUAGGAUUAACACCUUAAACUUGGUCCCGAUCUGAGCAAAGCAUCUGGUGACGGAGGAGAUGGUUCUGGACUACAAAACGGCAGGCCAGAUUCAUAUUUUUCCGUCUGUUUAAAAAGGUCCAUAAGAUGACCGUCUUCAACUAAAAUGACCUUGAUUAAUGAAGAUUUUAUCUCCUAACAAAGUUUGACCACAUUAGUUAGACUAACGCCCGCCCGAAAUACACAGAACCUGUAUUAUCAAGAAAACAACCAUUUUCUUGUGAAACACAUGCAAAAGAAUCUUGUUAGAUACUGGAGUAUUUCCUUAAACAUGAAUGAUGUUAUAAAUAGUUUUCCAAAUUCUGUUGGAAGCUAUUUGAGUUUCAAGUACUCAUAAUUCAAAAAAGAGAGAACCUCUACCAUUGACUUGUAUGGUAUUAGAACAAAAAAAGCUCCUCCCUUGGAAGUCACAAUUCAUAAUUCACUUGCUAUAAAUCAACCCAAUUUAAAACAUAAAAUGGCCCUUAGGAGACGAUGCACACAACGAAACUUGAAAGCCUUAAACCAUCAAAAAUCCUUCUUGCUGUCAACAAGAUGGAGCACAGAACUGAUAAAACCUGUGCUAUUGAUACCUCAGAAUGGACUAACUACCCUGAGAAAAAGUGCUGUCAUGUUUUGUCUUCCACAUUUAGACAGGCAUAUAUCCUUCAGUGGAACAUGAAUGUAGAAGGAAUAAGAUAUAAAGUAUUGUAAAAGGUCUGAGAAUGUAGGUGAACAACUAAUCCUAUAUUAACAACUACAAUACCUUUCUCUUUUAAAGACUGAUAUGCAAAUGGUUUACAUUUACUUAGAGAAUGUUACCGAAAGAAGAGUAACAGAUGUUGGCUGCUUGUGACUCAGAUUUAAGGUAACUGCUUUAACCAAAACAUACAACUUCAUGCUCAGAGUUAGGUUUAAAUUUGAUGAAUGUUGCAAAAUUCAGUGCAAUGGAAUUUCUGGUAAAUGACAAUUUUAUCAUGUUCCAUAGACACCCACAUAAGUCAUGAGGAUAUUAAUAAUGAACAAUUAAAUACCGCCAACCAAAUGAUGAAUUAGUUUUGUUGCGCUUAUUUUUUCUUAUGUGGCUAACUGACAGCUACAUAUUUAUGCAGAUGUUACUUUUUCUUACGCGGCCAAAUAAUGUUAUAUUAUUUAUGCAGAAGUCUAUGCUGAGAUUUAUAUUUGCUAAUGAGUCCAACCAAACAAUCCCUAAGAGGAACAAUUGCUUAAAGUAAGUGCAUUUUAAAGAAAUUUAUGAAAAACCAAGACUGAUCAUAUGGACUAUGCAAAGGCCAUAUAGACAUUAUCAGUCAUAAGUGUUGUGUUCCCACAAUCAGAAUAAACUUCUUAUCAACCUGUUGGGGGAACUUUGGCACCCUCCAGACAGUUUUUAUCAAUUGUAUCAGUAACCAAUGAAUCGCCAACAAAAUGCAAGACACCAGAAGUGACAUUGAGUAUAGUAUCCAGAUUCUUAGGAUUCUCUGUUCCAGAACCACUCUGCAUCUCAUACUCGAGGAGCGGCCCGUUGGUUCACCAAAGCCCGACCCAGUGUCGGACAUUCUCCAAAAGGUAAAGGUUCUAUCAUCUUGUCCAUAUAGUCAAGGUACUCAACUGUAGUCUUUGGACGGAAGUCCCUCCAUUUUGUCCCAGAAUCUAAGGAACUUUGAAUAAACAUAAGCAAGAUAUAAUUUGAAAGAGACUCUGUGGCCUAAGAGACUUAGAAAGAGACAUAAUCUGAAAUGCUUUAAUGAUUAAUAAGAAUGCAAUCUAAGAUAAUUUUGGAAAGUGGAUGAAAGAAAUGAAGCUCAUUAACUAAAACAUGCACAAGAAAAUUCAGCUCUUAUCAACAGUUUACCUUCUUUUAACUCCCCAUCGCGUGUACUUGUGCAAUCCACUUGAAUUUGUAAUAUUCUAUUCCAGAUGUUAACAAAUUUCAAUUUAACACUUGGCCUGAAGAGAAAAAUAUCAGGUCGUGUGAGUUACUAAAAUAUUUGAUUGAGAUAAUAUCAGAAAGAGACCCCACCCUCUCAAGAAAUUUGAUAGCAUUACCUUUCAUUAGAGAACACACCCUUACCACAUUUCGGGUGGAAGAUUGAGCACAUUGAUGGAAUGAGUGAGUGGAAGCUCCCAGCAGAUAGCUUCUGUAGAAUGAUGUAGUCCCCUUGCAGCUCUAGAUUCUGCACGAUGGAAAAGAACAUUAAUUAGUUGCUCAUAUUUUCUGUCAUAGUUGAUUAUUAACACAAAAAACGCACUCGAGGAGAAAUUACCUGGCAUAUAAGCACAUCAUGAACAAUUUAAAUAUUGUUAUUUCCUGCUGCCGUUCUUGAAGACUCACUUGUGGCAAAGAACUUCUUCUUGUCUUGGUAAAAUGGAGGAGCUGAAUGGCUUCUUCUACUCUUUCUUCUUCCUUAUAAGCUCAUCUAUUUUACCUCGAUUUCCAGCAUCAAUCCAUUUGUGCGAGUCCCCAUCCACCCUAGAAGAGAGCAUAGCUCGUGGUGGCAAAUAAUUUUAAGAUUCUCUUCAUCAUGAGAAAGCAUAUGUGUCAAAUCAUAUCUAUCAUAAUAGAAUUCAGAAGGACCUGAACUAUAAACAUCCCACGGAUCCAGUCCCCUAUACCGGCCAUGCCAGUUUGCCCAAUUACAAGUAAAACUGCAAAACAAAAAAAUUGAAGAACACCCGUAAAAAGAUACUAACAAACACAAACCGUCAAACAACCUAUCAGUUGAGGAACGCAUGCAGCCGUAUAGACUACGACAACCAUUCCAAGUUACGAACAUAAUCGUUGUCAGUCCAAUAUUUUGCAAAAUGAUUACCAUAUCAUUCUCUCCUCAGCAUCUGUCCAUCUCGUGAGACACCAGAUCCUUCAAAAGAAAGUACCAACUUCAGGUGAUGAAGCAAAAUAAUAAAUUGAGCAGAAUUUUAUACAUAUCUAAAUGCAUUUAGAUCAACGUCAAAGAAACUAAUAGAUACCAUUGUCAUCCACCUUAACAAUUCAGGUCCCAAUGUCAACAGCAACAGAUACCUGGUUGAAAAUGGAAACUGGGUUAAAGUUCAACUUAGGAGUACACAAAUUAUAAGAACAACGAACAUAAAAAGAGCAGUCCUACAAGGGGAGUAAAUCUCAUGGAGAAAACAAAGUGCUGUUAUAAGAAUAUUCAUUUGUUAAAAAAAAAUGCUUUGAUACUAGAAUCGAGCAUCAUACUAAGAGGAGAAGAAGAAUAUCAAUUUUCAUAUAAAGCAUAUCCCCUUGUAAUCAGAGGUAGCAAAAAUAGAAACAUACGAAUCCAUUGAAGAGCCUCACUGACAUUAACAAAAUCAGAAAACAUAAAAAACAUAAAACACGCCCACUCUCUUACAUGACACAAUUUACAACUUAUAAGAAACAAUUAAAAUCAGAAAGUCUAGAGCAUGUUUAUUUCAAAGAUGAAAAUAAGUCUAGACCAUGUAAAAGAAAAUGACCACUGAGGGUGUUCUGUCCAAUCGAGUGUCUUCAUUCAAAAUACUACAAAUCAUUUCUUAUAAUUAAACUACUUAUUUUUUAAGAAUUGUAACAGUGGAGCCUUCAACAAGAAAAACUCCACAUUUUCCCAUUCAAUGGCUUCAUAAUUCAGUUAUAAUUAAACCAAAAACAACAACAAGAGUAUCUAUCAUGAUUUAUGAUUUCAUGAUUCAAUUAUAUAAAAAGGUUCACCUCUAUGUGACUAUCACUUUUAUCUUUGACAAUGAAAGGAAGGCCAGCAUCUUCAAAUUGCUGCACCAUAUCAGGAUCCACCUACGUAGCACAGGAUAAGUUUUUAGCAUACGUCCCUUACUAAAGAAAAUCACAUCCUAUGGUCUACAUAUAAUUAUUAAACCAGUCCACCUAGAUGUGCAAUAGUUACACCACAGUUCCAAAUUUAAAGGAAAAAAAGUGUUGAACCUCAUAUAUAUGAUGGUGCCUCUCAUCUGCAAAGCUCCAAUUGCCAAAUCUGAGAAAAGAUAUAAUUAAGCCAGUUGGUAAUAUCAAUGGGAAAAAUCCUCCAGAAUGGCUUCACAAACUUAUCAACAAGCAUGCCCAAUGUAUGCAAAAGCAGUCUAUUAAGAAUUUCAAGAAACCAGAGAGAAAAGGCAAAGAACCAUAUCAUUUUAAAAAAUACUUGGUCAGAAAUCAAAAAGUCAAUAAACAAAAGUGUAGAAAGACGACUUAUCACAUCUCUUUAUCCAUCAAUUUGGGGCUCAGUGUAAACAUCGAAACCUUACAGUUAUCCUGAAAGUUAGAAUGCACCAACACUUACAUUCAAUUUGUUAAGGAAACUCAGAUGAAUUCCAAAUCCACUAGACAACAGCGGCAAGGAGAAGGAGAAGCACAUGUGCAAAGCAGGUCAUCCUCACUGCAUGCAAAUGAACAAAAUCUAAGGAACUAGAGAGGAAAUCCUUAAGUUAGAUGGCGUAUUGAAAACGAACCUUUCAAUAUCAACAAUUUUGAAGGAGACACUGCGAUGCGCAAGGGAGAUUCUUAGCAGAGACUCUAUCAGAGAAUGCAAGACCCUACUUGGACUUCAAGAUUAUACAUGCAGACCAAAAGAUCAAUCAGAUCAGAAUACAGUUUAGAAGUAAAGUAUGUAAAGCAAUAUCUUUUACUUGUUUGAUUUUGAGAAAACUAGAAGAACUUGGAAUGCAUUUGCUUCCUUUGAACUUCUAAGUUGUAAAAUACAUCACGAACAAUUACUGCAAAAAAAGAAACCCUAGAAAUCUCCUUUAAUAGCAGGCAGCAGUUAACUCAAUUAUCAAGUAGGCUUAUACAAAAUCACCUACUAUACCAACAUCUUGUCUAUAAUCACCAAUUCCAAGGUACAAAACACUUGCCAUCCGGUUAACAAUGGCCAGAUAAGACUUCAAGGACCAGGUUAGUAGUUCUAUACCUAUCCUAGUGUCAACUACUUACUAUAACUCAAAAGAAUUUUACCUUCAAAACCUUACAAUAUCUAUUAGGCCUCCCAUGAGAUUUGGUAACAAUUCCAGAAAAGAAAUAUCAGAAAUAGAGCUCAGAACCAACUAGUCACCACAAGAUAUUCUUGAGAAACACAUCAAAAUAGCUUCAUCAGAUUAACACAAUCAGUAUCAGUGGUGCCAACAAUGAGAGUUAAAUACUGCACAUAACUAUGCUGAAUUGAUUGCAUAUCUACCAUGGAACAAAAACGAACAAGUGACAUGUUUUUCUUUUUUUGUGGCUAUUAGUCAAACCAAUCCUAGUGUCAACUACUUACUAUAACUCAAAAGAAUUUUACCUUUAAAACCUUACAAUAUCUAUUAGGCCUCCGAUGAGAUUUGGUAACAAUUCCAGCAAAGAAAUAUGUAGAUAUGGUACAACAAAUUAGGGGCAGAAUUUGACCAGCCCUUUUAACAUAUAGCAUGUCGUUGAAGUCAAUAGGUUCCUAUCCAGUUCAUAGCAGAAUGUCUACAGAAUCAAACAAUGUAAUCAGUUGAAACAAAAUCCAGUAAUCCUAAAAAGUGCAACAGUUCUCAAGUUUGAUCUAGUCCAUGGUCUGCAGUCAAAAACUAACAGAAACCAGAUGCAGUCCUCUGGUUACUUGUGCUCCCACUUCAUCCACUUAUCAAAGAAAUAUAAGAAUUUUGUCACUUCCUCAGAGCCUAUUUUAGCUUUUCCCUAAUACCCUCGUUCUAAUUAAUGGUAUUUCGUAAAACUUUUGAAACAUUAGCGUAGGUGUUAAAUGUCAAAUGAAUUUUGUUACACCAAAAGAAUAGAAAAGAUACUAACUCAGUAACUCCAACAUGAAGGAGUUAAGUUGAUUCAACCUUCUGACAGAAAGGAUACAUAAAGAAGUACUAAAAUCAAAGUUAGGCUACAAUUUUCCGUUUUUUAGAAAUAAUCAAAAGUCAAAAAGUCCAGACCAUGUAAAGGAAAGGGGCGGUGAGGGGGUUUUAAGUCUACAAUUGAGUGUCUUCAUUCAAAAUACUACAAAUCACUAACUUACUUAUAAUUAAACUACUUUUUCUUUUAUUAAGUUGCGCAGUGGGGAGCCUUCAAGAACAACUUCACGUCUUUUUUCAAUUCCAAUUUUCCAAGAGGAAGCAGGGGACAUUAGGGCAAAACAAGUUCUUGAACAUCCUUAACAUGCAUUGACAGGAUGACAACAUAUCUUGCUUUUAAAAAAAGAUUCUUGAAUUUUCUUGAAAAAGCCAACAAAUUCUUAAAAUUUUCUUGAAUUCCAACAUGCAAAAUCGAGUUCUUUGGAAGAAUAUCAAGAUAAUGAGUAGAGUACCAAUGGAUAGAUAGAUCAAUUGAUUUAGGGUUAGGGUUUUGAUCGGACAUCGUCACUUGAACCAUCAAGAACACCAACAAGUUCAAUGAACUUUUCUAAAAAAUUAAACGCAAAAUAGAGUUGUUGAAUUCGAAUAUGCCGAAUGCCAAUGAAUCAUGAUAGAUUUGCCGAUAGCCGCCGGUAGCGUAAAAGUUCCGGCGGUCGAAGUAUUGAGUUCUAAAAUGGACACUAGGUUCUCUGUUUUAUAGUUUUAGAACCAGAUAAUACACGCGGCAGAAAAAUAGAACGCGGAAAAAUAACUACUUAAUAAAAAAUAUAUUACUUUUUUGUAAACUAUUUUAUUCUAGUAAUUAUUUUUUAUAUUAUUUGUAAUAGGAAGAAUUAUUCAUUGAAUGUGAAAUUUGUUCUCUCCCUUUCGUAUUAAGUUAAUAUUUUUAUUUUUUAAUUAAAUUCCCUUUGAUAUUAAGUUAAUAUUUUUAUUUUUUAAAUUUAUUUAAUUUUUAAGACUAUUUAAGAUAGUUAUUUCAAUUUUAUCCUUCAAUAAUUAAUAUUGAAAUUAGUGAUUAAUUAUUAUUUAGUUAUUUUAAUUAUAAAUUUGACAAUAAUUAAUGCCGUUUACUUCUCCUUUUUCUUAAGAAGAGAAAUUUAAGCUUCUUUCUAAUCGAAAAAAAAAACAAUUUUACUUUCAUUUAAAAGCAAUUUUAAAAAUUUGUCAAAUAUUUAAUUUUUCAAACAAAAAUAUUUUUUUCUAUAAAAAAAAAAACAUGUUGAGUAUCCCAACAACAAUGUCAAACACUAAGAGGCUCUUAGCCCAACCCAAUUUUUUGUUGUUUUCAUUUUUCUGCAAAUAAACUUCAAAAAUAAAUAAAAAUCUUGUCCAAUCAAAGUGUGUAGUAAUUUGUUUAUUGCCCUAAGUUUUUAAAUAAUCAAAAAGAUAUUAAUAAUGUUACUUCAAAUUUUUUAAAGUUCGAAAAAAGGAAGUUAAAAAAAAUGAUACACAUACCAAAUAUUAGCCUAAGUCAAAGUAGAAUCCACAAUGUUGAGUGUGUGAAACACGGCCAAAGAUAAUCUGUAAUACUUUGCAAAUGAACUAAAACAUUCAUAUUUUUAUAUAUUUCUGCAGCAGUAUAAUGUUAUGUUUUUUUUGUUGUAUUGAGGUCUUGAGGAUAACGUAGACUUUAGCUCUUGAGAAGCUCCAAUUCCCCUGUUAUAAAUAAAUGAAAUCAUGCAAAGAAAUUUCUGAAUUCUCAAAAAUCAGUUGGCGGUCUGAACAGCUAAAAAAGUGUGGUGUAUGUCUUUUUGAUAUCAGCUACUGAAAAAUUACAUUCAACAUUUGGGAGUAGGACAAAUAGCCCCCCUCUAUCUAAGUUUCAGUAAUGUGUAUUCAACUAUACAAACUACAAAGUUUAGUUAGUUCUUUACAAAAUUGUGUUAAGGAAAAGCAUCAGAAGCUACUCAAGCGAGAAGUAAGAUUAAUGAACACAUCCUCACUACACGGAAUUGUUACACCGCCCAUUGGAUGAUCAAAGUCAAAACUCUUCCUCGGCUUGACUAAGCAAGUCUUGGAAUAAAGGUUGUCUCAAGAAUGAAAUGGGGAUCAUAAAUCUCUUCUUUUGCUUCUCCCCAACAUAAACAGCAAAAUGGCCCUUUGGAACGUCUCCAAAUGUACAAGUCUUCUUGAUUAUACGGAUUUCCAUGGUUGUUUAGUUCAAUAUAGAUGAAGAAAUAAGGAUUGGAAGAAUUAGUAAGGAAAUCUGAAAGCAGAGAAAGGUUUGUAUCAUUUCAAGUUUUAGUGAGAGCUGUUAUGUGUUUAUAUAGGCUAAUCUCAAGUUGUAGAAUUCUACAGAUGUGCAUUGAAUAGACAUUAUGUGGGCACCAGCUAAAGACAGUAGCACCUGAAGUAUCACAUGGUAUUGCCUUCCAACUCAUUGCCAUAAUACUAUUAAUGCAAACUCUCAUGUGUCCACUUAUAUCAAAACUAUAACAAAAAACAAAAUCAAUCAUAUAGAAGAUUCAACUGGUAGAGAGGCAUUUUUUGUACUGUUGAUUGACUAUAGCACAUGGUUUUGCUACUCAACUCAUUGUCAUUGCUCUUCAAUAUCAGCAGUCCCUACACCCCAGUGUUUUUUAGGACAAGAGAGAGAACUGAAGAUUUUUAGAAAUCAAUUUGCUAACAUUGAGUCAUUGUCAACAGCAGGAUUUUAUGAGUUUGAUCAGAAUGAUAAUAACAGGUAAAAUUUACUACCAUCUGACCAUUUGCUAAGUCCCUCAAGCUAAGUCAUUAUGUAGGAUCAACUUUCCUGAUUAAAAUAAACCAACCCAUUUCAAUAGAUUUUUUCUAAAUAUUUCCAAAUAGUAGAGAAUACGAUAUAUUCUUUACUGGCUAUCUCUGUCCAUGUAUGCAAAUCUCCAUUAAAUUAUAAGUCAGUCAACACCUUAUUAUUGCUAGAAAUUCGAGUUCAUAUCCAAAAGUACAGAUACUAUUUCUUAUGAAGAGUUCCUAAAGUGUAAUUAUCAUUUUUACCAAUUGAAUGAGGUACGCCACUUAAGAGGACUAGAUUGUAGUUCUUUCUGAUUACCAAACCAUUACAGUUGAGCAAACAAUUUCUACUGCAAUAAAUUGAUUACAUCAAUGUAUGGAAGUAAAAAGUUUCAUUACUUCAAUUUCUUUUGAAGUAGAAAAAUGUAUACUAGUCUAGCUAUUGUUUCUUCCAACUCUCAACUGUACACAGUGGAGUUCCUGGCUUACUACAACUAUACAAAAUUGUGUGACGAAAAAAAAUGGUGACUAGUUUCCUUCUCACUUCCUCAAUCGAGAUGUGAGAUCCAUGAACAAAUCCUCACUGCAGGGAAUAGUAACACCGCCCAUUGGAUGUUCAAAGCCAAAUUCAUCCUCGGCUUGACUAAGCAAGUCUUGAAACAAAGGUUCGCUCAAGAAUGAUAUCGGAAUUACAAAUCUCUUUUUCUGCAUCUCUCCAACAUACACAGCAAAAUGGCCCUUGGGAAUAUCUCUAGUUGCGGAAGACCUCUUGAUCAUACGGAGAAUAGCCAUGAUCUCUUAGUUUUAGUAUAGAUGAGAAAAAAAGGACUGUUAAGGGAACUCAAAAGCAGAGAAAACUUUGAUGUUU
rnacentral:lncRNA from 1 species